rnacentral:rRNA from 1 species
UACGUAGGGGGCAAGCGUUGUCCGGAUUUAUUGGGCGUAAAGAGCGUGUAGGCGGCCGUACAGGUCAGCUGUGAAAACUCGAGGCUCAACCUCGAGAGGUCGGUUGAAACCGUACGGCUAGAGUCCGGAAGAGGAGAGUGGAAUUCCUGGUGUAGCGGUGAAAUGCGCAGAUAUCAGGAAGAACACCCGUGGCUAAGGCGGCUCUCUAGUACGGUACUGACGCUGAGACGCGAAAGCGUGGGGAGCGAACAGG